UUGUCUUCAGGGCAGGGUGAGAAUCCCGACCGGCGGUACAGUCCGCGACCUGCGAAAGCAGCUGACCCGGUGCGAUUCCGGGACCGACAGUAUGGCGAAGCCGACUUCGCCGAGUCUGGAUGGAAGAAGACG
rnacentral:ncRNA from 1 species